GUUUCUGUACGAUCACCAAAGUUAAGCAAUAUCGAGCCUGGUCAGUACUUAGAUGAGUGACCGCUUGGGAAUAGCAGGUAUUGUAAG